AAGUCGUAACAAGGUUUCCGUAGGUGAACCUGCGGAAGGAUCAUUACAGAGAGGGACCUCGGAUCCCAGGGGGCUUCGUCCCCCGUCUCUACACCCGUGGACAUCUACUAUUUCCGUUGCUUUGGCGGGUUUCGGGGGGUAAUCCCCCCCGCCAGUACGCUGGAGAGCGCCCGUCAACCGCCCCCUAAAAUUCGUGUUUUCCCGUCCCGUCCGAGUAAUUGCGAAUCCAAACAAAACUUUCAACAACGGAUCUCUUGGUUCUGGCAUCGAUGAAGAACGCAGCGAAAUGCGAUAAGUAAUGUGAAUUGCAGAAUUCAGUGAAUCAUCGAAUCUUUGAACGCACAUUGCGCCCCUCGGUACCCCGGGGGGCAUGCCUGUUCGAGCGUCAUUGCACCCCUCAAGCGUAGCUUGGUCCUGGGUUUCGCCCCCGGGCGUACCCCAAAAGCAGUAGCGGUCCGGAGUGACCUUUGAGCGCAGUAAUCAUCUUGUCCGCUUUGAAAUCUCGCUCCGUGUCCUGCUUAGGAGAUAUUCGAUUCAAUGAUUGACCUCGGAUCAGGUAGGGAUACCCGCUGAACUUAAGCAUAUCAAUAAGCGG
rnacentral:rRNA from 1 species